rnacentral:rRNA from 1 species
AGAGUUUGAUCCUGGCUCAGGAUGAACGCUAGCGGCAGGCUUAACACAUGCAAGUCGAGGGGUAUAGUAGCAAUACUAGAGACCGGCGCACGGGUGCGUAACGCGUAUGCAAUCUACCUUUUACAGAGGGAUAGCCCAGAGAAAUUUGGAUUAAUACCUCAUAGCAUAGCAGCUUCGCAUGAAGUCACUAUUAAAGUUCCAACGGUAAAAGAUGAGCAUGCGUCCUAUUAGCUAGAUGGUAAGGUAACGGCUUACCAUGGCUACGAUAGGUAGGGGUCCUGAGAGGGAGAUCCCCCACACUGGUACUGAGACACGGACCAGACUCCUACGGGAAGCAGCAGUGAGGAAUAUUGGACAAUGGGCGCAAGCCUGAUCCAGCCAUGCCGCGUGCAGGAAGACGCAUCUAUGGUGUGUAAACUGCUUUUGUACGGGAAGAAACACUCCUACGUGUAGGAGCUUGACGGUACCGUAAGAAUAAGGAUCGGCUAACUCCGUGCCAGCAGCCGCGGUAAUACGGAGGAUCCAAGCGUUAUCCGGAAUCCUUGGGUUUAAAGGGUCC